rnacentral:rRNA from 1 species
GACGAACGCUGGCGGCGUGCCUAAUACAUGCAAGUCGAGCGGACGAAUCGAAAGCUUGCUUUUGAUUCGUUAGCGGCGGACGGGUGAGUAACACGUGGGCAACCUGCCCUGUAGACGGGGAUAACACCGAGAAAUCGGUGCUAAUACCGGACAACACGAAAUGUCGCAUGACGUUUCGUUGAAAGACGGCGCAAGCUGUCGCUACAGGAUGGGCCCGCGGCGCAUUAGCUAGUUGGUGAGGUAACGGCUCACCAAGGCGACGAUGCGUAGCCGACCUGAGAGGGUGAUCGGCCACACUGGGACUGAGACACGGCCCAGACUCCUACGGGAGGCAGCAGUAGGGAAUCUUCCGCAAUGGACGAAAGUCUGACGGGGCAACGCCGCGUGAGCGAAGAAGGCCUUCGGGUCGUAAAGCUCUGUUGUUAGGGAAGAACAAGUAACGCAGUAACUGGCGUUACCGUGACGGUACCUAACGAGAAAGCCACGGCUAACUACGUGCCAGCCGCCGCAGUAA